AGCGGCAAGGGGGAGCAAUCCCCCCUAGAGCGGCGGACUGGUGAGUAACACGUGGGUGACCUGCCUUUGUCUUGGGGAUAGCCAUUAGAAAUAGUGGGUAAUACCGAAUACGCUUGCACACGUAGAGGUGUGUAAGGAAAGGCGCUACGGCGCCGGACGAAGAUGGGCCCGCGUCCCAUUAGCUAGUUGGUGAGGUAACGGCUCACCAAGGCGAUGAUGGGUAGGCGGCCUGAGAGGGUGUACGCCCACAUUGGGACUGAGAUACGGCCCAAACUCCUACGGGAGGCAGCAGCUAAGAAUAUUCCGCAAUGGACGAAAGUCUGACGGAGCGACGCCGCGUGGAUGACGAAGGCCGAAAGGUUGUAAAAUCCUUUUGCUGGGGAAGAAUAAGCAUGGGAGGGAAUGCCCGUGUGAUGACAUGAACCGGCGAAUAAGCCCCGGCUAACUACGUGCCAGCAGCCGCGGUAAUA
rnacentral:rRNA from 1 species